rnacentral:rRNA from 1 species
UACGAACCGUACAAACGUUAUUCGGAAUCACUGGGUUUAAAGGGUGCGUAGGCGGCUUAGUAAGUCAGUGGUGAAAGACUGUGGCUUAACCAUGGAAUUGCCAUUGAUACUGCUGAGCUUGAAUCAGGUUGAGGUUGGCGGAAUGUGACAUGUAGCGGUGAAAUGCUUAGAUAUGUCAUGGAACACCGAUUGCGAAGGCAGCUGACUGGACCUGUAUUGACGCUGAGGCACGAAAGCGUGGGGAGCGAACAGG